rnacentral:rRNA from 1 species
GAUGAACGCUGGCGGCGUGCUUAACACAUGCAAGUCGAACGAUGAAGCCCAGCUUGCUGGGUGGAUUAGUGGCGAACGGGUGAGUAACACGUGAGUAACCUGCCCUUAACUCUGGGAUAAGCCUGGGAAACUGGGUCUAAUACCGGAUAGGAGCGUCCACCGCAUGGUGGGUGUUGGAAAGAUUUAUCGGUUUUGGAUGGACUCGCGGCCUAUCAGCUUGUUGGUGAGGUAAUGGCUCACCAAGGCGACGACGGGUAGCCGGCCUGAGAGGGUGACCGGCCACACUGGGACUGAGACACGGCCCAGACUCCUACGGGAGGCAGCAGUGGGGAAUAUUGCACAAUGGGCGAAAGCCUGAUGCAGCGACGCCGCGUGAGGGAUGACUGCCUUCGGGUUGUAAACCUCUUUCAGUAGGGAAGAAGCGAAAGUGACGGUACCUGCAGAAGAAGCACCGGCUAACUACGUG